rnacentral:lncRNA from 1 species
AAUUGAGAUCAUCAACCUUGUGCAACUAAACCACAACCAUCUUUGUCAAUGAGUCUUUCUGUAAAAUUCUUUAAGCAUUCUCAAGCCUCGUUCGAACCUUCUAUCCUAAAUGAUAAGUCAACGAACAUCGUCGAUCAAAUCCAUCAUCGAUGCGCGUAAGAAAAACAUCACAAAAAUUUAUAUCUCUAUUAUAUUUAGAAUAAAUUUAAUGUAAAAGAUCUAAAUCAUAUAUAAAAUACUUUACAUACGGUUUUAAAAUAUUAUAAAUAACAUAAUGUGUUAAGCAACACCCCAUUAGAAGAAAAAAUAAAGUAAAAUGUCAUAUGUAUUUAGUUCAAAUUUCAUAUAUAAUACAUUUUACUUUUUUUUUAUUUCUUAAAUCCUGAUUUCCAUAUAUAUAUAUAUCAUUCUAGACUGGAUAAUUGUAAUUAAUAACUUUAAAAUUAAUAUUUUUUUUAUCUUAUAUUAUAUCAAACAUUGACCAUAUAACAUCAAAAUUUAAUAUUUAGUAAAAAAUUAAACCAAAUAAAACAAGAACAUUAAAAUGAAUAUAUGAAAUUAAACAAAAAAAAAAACAUAUGCAAGAUCAGACUGGACACGAUCAACAACAAAAUUUGAUUAUGCUUUGCAGCUUUUUCUUAUGAAAGUAAAACAAACACAUAAUCUUAAGACGCACAUGAAAUACUCAUAUUAAAAGGUAAAUCCAAAAUACAAUUAAAUUUAAAUCCUUUUUUAAACACUUUAGAGGUUUAACUUUAGGUUCAACUCCAUUGGAUCGUUGGCAUCUGAAACUGUUGUUGGAGAAGACUCUAGUGGUGCAAGUGACAAAGUUGUUGAUGUUUGCCCAGAUGUUGAUGUUGUAUGUGCUUGUGGUCUUAGUGGUAUGUGUCUUGCUCCAUUAUUUUCUUCAGAAAUUGUGAUGGAUCCGAUAGGUAAAUUCAUGGACGAUAGCAAGUCCAGAGUCUCAUGAAAUUUAACCUCAAUAGGCGGUGAUGGCGCCGGAGGUGGGACUAAACCCAUCAUCAUCUCGUGAAAAUUGUGUGGUGGGGGAACUAACUCCAUCAUCAUCCCCCCAACAUUUGGUGAAAAGGGAAAUUCAUACGUUAGUUGAAUCAGCUCGAUCAGCUUCUCUCUUAUUGAUUUCAUCUGUAUGCUAUGAUUCAAUGCCAAACAAUGGUGAUAGUGAAUAUCUUCCUUAGAGUUGAAUUGAUUAUAACAAUAGGGGCAUAUGAAAGUUCCAAUACCACCAUUGUUUGCCAUUUUGUAAACGGGUGUGUAAGAUGAAAAAAAUAUCUAAUCUUAAUAGAUUGAUAUCUUUCAGAUAAACACAAAAGGAGAGAAUAUAUGAAGAAAAUUGCUAGGUAAAAUGUUAUAUUUAUAGUGUAGUUCCAAGUUCAAGAUGGGAUGGAUCUCAAAUUAUCUUUAUUUAAUUAUGAAUUUACGAGGAAACUUCUUUCUUUGUAAUAUUAGGAAAUAAGUGGAGGUAUAUCCACAUGAUUUGAAUUCUUUUAAAUAAAAUACUUUUUCCUGUCUAUAUACAUUGAACUCUUUUGAAAAGUAUUUUUAUUUUUUAUAAGAUCGUUUUUAAAUUACAAGAUACAUUAUCUAUCUUUUCGCAAAAAUACCCCUAUUAAAAAUCGAGAAUUCAAACACUAAUCUCAUAAUAAAUGAAAGAUAAUUUUCGAAAGUGAAUGUAUAUUAUUCAAAAAUUUAACAUACAACUAUUUUUGUUUAUUUCUCUGCAAUGACCAAUGUAAAUAAAUUUGUAAUGUUCUUUAAAAGAUAUAGAUGUAAAUACUUUGUAAGUGCUCUUUGAACCUUAAAAUGAUCCUUGUAUUGGACAUGGGCACCAUUCCCUCUUCCUAAAUUUACAUACAUAAAAAAAUGUCUUACAUUGAGAGAACAACGUAGUAUAUUUUAUGGACUGAAAACAAUAUCAACUCUUUUUGAUAUCCCCUUUCAUAUUUCCUAAAAAUAAAAUAAGUAUUUAAAUAAUCAAAUAUGUAAAGGUGGUUCGACAAAUCAUAUUACAUACAUUUUGUAUGACUCUUUUCUCAAGACGAUGGUACUUCGAGUGCUAGAAUUCUAUAAGAGAUUUGCAACCAAUUUUUUUAUAUGAAAAACUAUUAUUUAUACAUAGUGAAAAUAACUGUAAAAAGCUAACUGCCACGAACUGCACUUCUUCUAACGAAAACUGCAUGUCCCCCACGUCUUCAAUAAGAAAACUGAUGAUUUUUUAAUUCAAAUUAUUUCCCUUCGACAACAACUGCUUGGCUUUGACUAAGCUUUGACUAAUCUUCUUUCGGCGUUGACUAGGCUUUGCUGAAGAUAAUAAUUUUUACUCUUUGAAAGGACAAAAGUCAAAUCUCAUUGACUCUAUUAAAUGGGCCUGUCGAAAUUACAGGCUAACACACCUUUUGUGCGUCCGAAUUUAACCAUACACCACAAGGAAAGACGUUCAAGAUUGCGCUGACGCAAUUCUUCAUUCGAUAAAGUCGAUUGAUGUCUCUUUCAUUUCUUCUAUUGAAGGACACACAAUCAUGGUCCUUAAUUGAGAUCAUCAACCUUGUGCAACUAAACCACAACCAUCUUUGUCAAUGAGUCUUUCUGUAAAAUUCUUUAAGCAUUCUCAAGCCUCGUUCGAACCUUCUAUCCUAAAUGAUAAGUCAACGAACAUCGUCGAUCAAAUCCAUCAUCGAUGCGCGUAAGAAAAACAUCACAAAAAUUUAUGUCUCUAUUAUAUUUAGAAUAAAUUUAAUGUAAAAGAUCUAAAUCAUAUAUAAAAUACUUUACAUACGGUUUUAUAUUAGAAAGAAAAAAAUCAUAACAAAAAUUUGUAUACCCUUUGUAUAUUGUAUAAAUGGAUGAAUUGAUUGAUUUUGUGAUAAAAAUGAAAAUACUCUUAAAAAAGGAAUAAAGUUUGUCAAAUGUUUUAAAAUAUUAUAAAUAACAUAAUGUGUUAAGCAACACCCCAUUAGAAGAAAAAAUAAAGUAAAAUGUCAUAUGUAUUUAGUUCAAAUUUCAUAUAUAAUACAUUUUACUUUUUUUUUUUAUUCCUUAAAUCCUCAUUUCCAUAUAUAUAUAUAUAUAUAUAUAUAUCAUUCUAGACUGGAUAAUUGUAAUUAAUAACUUUAAAAUUAAUAUUUUUUUAUCUUAUAUUAUAUCAAACAUUGACCAUAUAACAUCAAAAUUUAAUAUUUAGUAAAAAAUUAAACCAAAUAAAACAAGAACAUUAAAAUGAAUAUAUGAAAUUAAACAAAAAAAAAAACAUAUGCAAGAUCAGACUGGACACGAUCAACAACAAAAUUUGAUUAUGCUUUGCAGCUUUUUCUUAUGAAAGUAAAACAAACACAUAAUCUUAAGACGCACAUGAAAUACUCAUAUUAAAAGGUAAAUCCAAAAUACAAUUAAAUUUAAAUCCUUUUUUAAACACUUUAGAGGUUUAACUUUAGGUUCAACUCCAUUGGAUCGUUGGCAUCUGAAACUGUUGUUGGAGAAGACUCGAGUGGUGCAAGUGACAAAGUUGUUGAUGUUUGCCCAGAUGUUGAUGUUGUAUGUGCUUGUGGUCUUAGUGGUAUGUGUCUUGCUCCAUUAUUUUCUUCAGAAAUUGUGAUGGAUCCGAUAGGUAAAUUCAUGGACGAUAGCAAGUCCAGAGUCUCAUGAAAUUUAACCUCAAUAGGCGGUGAUGGCGCCGGAGGUGGGACUAAACCCAUCAUCAUCUCGUGAAAAUUGUGUGGUGGGGGAACUAACUCCAUCAUCAUCCCCCCAACAUUUGGUGAAAAGGGAAAUUCAUACGUUAGUUGAAUCAGCUCGAUCAGCUUCUCUCUUAUUGAUUUCAUCUGUAUGCUAUGAUUCAAUGCCAAACAAUGGUGAUAGUGAAUAUCUUCCUUAGAGUUGAAUUGAUUAUAACAAUAGGGGCAUAUGAAAGUUCUAAUACCACCAUUGUUUGCCAUUUUGUAAACGGGUGUGUAAGAUGAAAAAAAUAUCUAAUCUUAAUAGAUUGAUAUCUUUCAGAUAAACACAAAAGGAGAGAAUAUAUGAAGAAAAUUGCUAGGUAAAAUGUUAUAUUUAUAGUGUAGUUCCAAGUUCAAGAUGGGAUGGAUCUCAAAUUAUCUUUAUUUAAUUAUGAAUUUACGAGGAAACUUCUUUCUUUGUAAUAUUAGGAAAUAAGUGGAGGUAUAUCCACAUGAUUUGAAUUCUUUUAAAUAAAAUACUUUUUCCUGUCUAUAUACAUUGAACUCUUUUGAAAAGUAUUUUUAUUUUUUAUAAGAUCGUUUUUAAAUUACAAGAUACAUUAUCUAUCUUUUCGCAAAAAUACCCCUAUUAAAAAUCGAGAAUUCAAACACUAAUCUCUUAAUAAAUGAAAGAUAAUUUUCGAAAGUGAAUGUAUAUUAUUCAAAAAUUUAACAUAGAACUAUUUUUGUUUAUUUCUCUGCAAUGACCAAUGUAAAUAAAUUUGUAAUGUUCUUUAAAAGAUAUAGAUGUAAAUACUUUGUAAGUGCUCUUUGAACCUUAAAAUGAUCCUUGUAUUGGACAUGGGCACCAUUCCCUCUUCCUAAAUUUACAUACAUAAAAAAAUGUCUUACAUUGAGAGAACAACGUAGUAUAUUUUAUGGACUGAAAACAAUAUCAACUCUUUUUGAUAUCCCCUUUCAUAUUUCCUAAAAAUAAAAUAAGUAUUUAAAUAAUCAAAUAUGUAAAGGUGGUUCGACAAAUCAUAUUACAUACAUUUUGUAUGACUCUUUUCUCAAGACGAUGGUACUUCGAGUGCUAGAAUUCUAUAAGAGAUUUGCAACCAAUUUUUUUAUAUGAAAAACUAUUAUUUAUACAUAGUGAAAAUAACUGUAAAAAGCUAACUGCCACGAACUGCACUUCUUCUAACGAAAACUGCAUGUCCCCCACGUCUUCAAUAAGAAAACUGAUGAUUUUUUAAGUCAAAUUAUUUCCCUUCGACAACAACUGCUUGGCUUUGACUAAGCUUUGACUAAUCUUCUUUCGGGGUUGACUAGGCUUUGCUGAAGAUAAUAAUUUUUACUCUUUGAAAGGACAAAAGUCAAAUCUCAUUGACUCUAUUAAAUGGGCCUGUCGAAAUUACAGGCUAACACACCUUUUGUGCGUCCAAAUUUAACCAUACACCACAAGGAAAGACGUUCAAGAUUGCGCUGACGCGAUUCUUCAUUCGAUAAAGUCGAUUGAUGUCUCUUUCAUUUCUUCUAUUGAAGGACACACAAUCAUGGUCCUUAAUUGAGAUCAUCAACCUUGUGCAACUAAACCACAACCAUCUUUGUCAAUGAGUCUUUCUGUAAAAUUCUUUAAGCAUUCUCAAGCCUCGUUCGAACCUUCUAUCCUUAAUGACAAGUCAAAGAACAUCGUCGAUCAAAUCCAUCAUCGAUGCGCGUAAGAAAAACAUCACAAAAAUUUAUGUCUCUAUUAUAUUUAGAAUAAAUUUAAUAUAAAAGAUCUAAAUCAUAAAUAAAAUAGUUUACAUACGGUUUUAUAUUAGAAAGAAAAAAAUCAUAACAAAAAUUUGUAUCCCCUUUGUAUAUUGUAUAAAUGGAUGAAUUGAUUGAUUUUGUGAUAAAAAUGAAAAUACUCUUAAAAAAGGAAUAAAGUUUGUCAAAUGUUUUAAAAUAUUAUAAAUAACAUAAUGUGUUAAGCAACACCCCAUUAGAAGAAAAAAUAAAGUAAAAUGUCAUAUGUAUUUAGUUCAAAUUUCAUAUAUAAUACAUUUUACUUUUUUUUUUAUUUCUUAAAUCCUGAUUUCCAUAUAUAUAUAUAUCAUUCUAGACUGGAUAAUUGUAAUUAAUAACUUUAAAAUUAAUAUUUUUUUUAUCUUAUAUUAUAUCAAACAUUGACCAUAUAACAUCAAAAUUUAAUAUUUAGUAAAAAAUUAAACCAAAUAAAACAAGAACAUUAAAAUGAAUAUAUGAAAUUAAACAAAAAAAAAAACAUAUGCAAGAUCAGACUGGACACGAUCAACAACAAAAUUUGAUUAUGCUUUGCAGCUUUUUCUUAUGAAAGUAAAACAAACACAUAAUCUUAAGACGCACAUGAAAUACUCAUAUUAAAAGGUAAAUCCAAAAUACAAUUAAAUUUAAAUCCUUUUUUAAACACUUUAGAGGUUUAACUUUAGGUUCAACUCCAUUGGAUCGUUGGCAUCUGAAACUGUUGUUGGAGAAGACUCGAGUGGUGCAAGUGACAAAGUUGUUGAUGUUUGCCCAGAUGUUGAUGUUGUAUGUGCUUGUGGUCUUAGUGGUAUGUGUCUUGCUCCAUUAUUUUCUUCAGAAAUUGUGAUGGAUCCGAUAGGUAAAUUCAUGGACGAUAGCAAGUCCAGAGUCUCAUGAAAUUUAACCUCAAUAGGCGGUGAUGGCGCCGGAGGUGGGACUAAACCCAUCAUCAUCUCGUGAAAAUUGUGUGGUGGGGGAACUAACUCCAUCAUCAUCCCCCCAACAUUUGGUGAAAAGGGAAAUUCAUACGUUAGUUGAAUCAGCUCGAUCAGCUUCUCUCUUAUUGAUUUCAUCUGUAUGCUAUGAUUCAAUGCCAAACAAUGGUGAUAGUGAAUAUCUUCCUUAGAGUUGAAUUGAUUAUAACAAUAGGGGCAUAUGAAAGUUCCAAUACCACCAUUGUUUGCCAUUUUGUAAACGGGUGUGUAAGAUGAAAAAAAUAUCUAAUCUUAAUAGAUUGAUAUCUUUCAGAUAAACACAAAAGGAGAGAAUAUAUGAAGAAAAUUGCUAGGUAAAAUGUUAUAUUUAUAGUGUAGUUUCAAGUUCAAGAUGGGAUGGAUCUCAAAUUAUCUUUAUUUAAUUAUGAAUUUACGAGGAAACUUCUUUCUUUGUAAUAUUAGGAAAUAAGUGGAGGUAUAUCCACAUGAUUUGAAUUCUUUUAAAUAAAAUACUUUUUCCUGUCUAUAUACAUUGAACUCUUUUGAAAAGUAUUUUUAUUUUUUAUAAGAUCGUUUUUAAAUUACAAGAUACAUUAUCUAUCUUUUCGCAAAAAUACCCCUAUUAAAAAUGGAGAAUUCAAACACUAAUCUCAUAAUAAAUGAAAGAUAAUUUUCGAAAGUGAAUGUAUAUUAUUCAAAAAUUUAACAUAGAACUAUUUUUGUUUAUUUCUCUGCAAUGACCAAUGUAAAUAAAUUUGUAAUGUUCUUUAAAAGAUAUAGAUGUAAAUACUUUGUAAGUGCUCUUUGAACCUUAAAAUGAUCCUUGUAUUGGACAUGGGCACCAUUCCCUCUUCCUAAAUUUACAUACAUAAAAAAAUGUCUUACAGUGAGAGAACAACGUAGUAUAUUUUAUGGACUGAAAACAAUAUCAACUCUUUUUGAUAUCCCCUUUCAUACUUCCUAAAAAUAAAAUAAGUAUUUAAAUAAUCAAAUAUGUAAAGGUGGUUCGACAAAUCAUAUUAAAUAUAUUUUGUAUGACUCUUUUCUCAAGACGAUGGUACUUCGAGUGCUAGAAUUCUAUGAGAGAUUUGCAACCAAUUUUUUAUAUGAAAAACUAUUAUUUAUACAUAGUGAAAAUAACUGUAAAAAGCUAACUGCCACGAAUUGCACUUCUUCUAACGAAAACUGCAUGUCCCCCACGUCUUCAAUAAGAAAACUGAUGAUUUUUUUAAUUCAAAUUAUUUCCCUUCGACAACAACUGCUUGGCUUUGACUAAGCUUUGACAAAUCUUCUUUCGGGGUUGACUAGGCUUUGCUGAAGAUAAUAAUUUUUACUCUUUGAAAGGACAAAAGUCAAAUCUCAUUGACUGUAUUAAAUGGGCCUGUCGAAAUUACAGGCUAACACACCUUUUGUGCGUCCGAAUUUAACCAUACACCACAAGGAAAGACGUUCAAGAUUGCGCUGACGCGAUUCUUCAUUCGAUAAAGUCGAUUGAUGUCUCUUUCAUUUCUUCUAUUGAAGGACACACAAUCAUGGUCCUUAAUUGAGAUCAUCAACCUUGUGCAACUAAACCACAACCAUCUUUGUCAAUGAGUCUUUCUGUAAAAUUCUUUAAGCAUUCUCAAGCCUCGUUCGAACCUUCUAUCCUUAAUGACAAGUCAAUGAACAUUGUCGAUCAAAUCCAUCAUCGAUGCGCGAAAGAAAAACAUCACAAAAAUUUAUGUCUCUAUUAUAUUUUGAAUAAAUUUAAUAUAAAAGAUCUAAAUCAUAAAUAAAAUAGUUUACAUACGGUUUUAUAUUUGAAAGAAAAAAAUCAUAACAAAAAUUUGUAUCCCCUUUGUAUAUUGUAUAAAUGGAUGAAUUGAUUGAUUUUGUGAUAAAAAUGAAAAUACUCUUAAAAAAGGAAUAAAGUUUGUCAAAUGUUUUAAAAUAUUAUAAAUAACAUAAUGUGUUAAGGAACACCCCAUUAGAAGAAAAAAUAAAGUAAAAUGUCAUAUGUAUUUAGUUCAAAUUUCAUAUAUAAUACAUUUUACUUUUUUUUUAUUUCUUAAAUCCUAAUUUCCAUAUAUAUAUCAUUCUAGACUGGAUAAUUGUAAUUAAUAACUUUAAAAUUAAUAUUUUUUUCUAUCUUAUAUUAUAUCAAACAUUGACGAUAUAACAUCAAAAUCGAAUAUUGAGUAAAAAAUUAAACCAAAUAAAAUAAGAACAUUAGAAUGAAUAUAUGAAAUUAAACAACAAAAAUACAUAUGGAAGAUCAGAUUGGACACGAUCAACAACAAAAUUUGAUUAUGCUUUGCAGCUUUUUCAUAUGAAAGUAAAACAAACAAAUAAUCUUAAGACGCACAUGAAAUACUCAUAUUAAAAGGUAAAUCCAAAAUACAAUUAAAUUUAAAUCCUUUUUUAAACACUUUAGAGGUUUAACUUUAGGUUCAACUCCAUUGGAUCGUUGGCAUCUGAAACUGUUGUUGGAGAAGACUCGAGUGGUGCAAGUGACAAAGUUGUUGAUGUUUGCCCAGAUGUUGAUGUUGUAUGUGCUUGUGGUCUUAGUGGUAUGUGUCUUGCUCCAUUAUUUUCUUCAGAAAUUGUGAUGGAUCCGAUAGGUAAAUUCAGGGACGAUAGCAAGUCCAGAGUCUCACGAAAUUUAACCUCAAUAGGCGGUGAUGGCGCCGGAGGUGGGACUAAACCCAUCAUCAUCUCGUGAAAAUUGUGUGGUGGGGAACUAACUCCAUCAUCAUCCCCCCAACAUUUGGUGAAAAGGGAAAUUCAUACGUUAGUUGAAUCAGCUCGAUCAGCUUCUCUCUUAUUGAUUCCAUCUGUAAGCUAUGAUUCAAUGCCAAACAAUGGUGAUAGUGAAUAUCUUCCUUAGAGUUGAAUUGAUUAUAACAAUAGGGGCAUAUGAAAGUUCCAAUAUCACCAUUGUUUGCCAUUUUGUAAACGGGUGUGUAAGAUGAAAAAAUAUCUAAUCUUAAUAGAUUGAUAUCUUUCAGAUAAACACAAAAGGAGAGAAUAUAUGAAGAAAAUUGCUAGGUAAAAUGUUAUAUUUAUAUUGUAGUUCCAAGUUCAAGAUGGGAUGGAUCUCAAAUUAUCUUUAUUUAAUUAUGAAUUUACGAGGAAACUUCUUUCUUUGUAAUAUUAGGAAAUAAGUGGAGGUAUAUCCACAUGAUUUGAAUUCUUUUAAAUAAAAUACUUUUUCCUUGUCUAUAUACAUUGAACUCUUUUGAAAAGUAUUUUUAUUUUUUAUAAGAUCGUUUUUAAAUUACAAGAUACAUUAUCUAUCUUUUCGCAAAAAUACCCCUAUUAAAAAUGGAGAAUUCAAACACUAAUCUCAUAAUAAAUGAAAGAUAAUUUUCGAAAGUGAAUGUAUAUUAUUCAAAAAUUUAACAUAGAACUAUUUUUGUUUAUUUCUCUGCAAUGAACAAUGUAAAUAAAUUUGUAAUGUUCUUUAAAAGAUAUAGAUGUAAAUACUUUGUAAGUGCUCUUUGAACCUUAAAAUGAUCCUUGUAUUGGACAUGGGCACCAUUCCCUCUACCUAAAUUUACAUACAUAAAAAAAUGUCUUACAUUGAGAGAACAACGUAGUAUAUUUUAUGGACUGAAAACAAUACCAACUCUUUUUGAUAUCCCCUUUCAUAUUUCCUAAAAAUAAAAUAAGUAUUUAAAUAAUCAAAUAUGUAAAGGUGGUUUGACAAAUCAUAUUACAUACAUUUUGUAUGACUCUUUUCUCUAGACGAUGGUACUUCGAGUGCUAGAAUUCUAUAAGAGAUUUGCAACCAAUUUUUUAUAUGAAAAACUAUUAUUUAUACAUAGUGAAAAUAACUGUAAAAAGCUAACUGCCACGAACUGCACUUCUUCUAACGAAAAUUGCAUGUCCCCCACGUCUUCAAUAAGAAAACUAAUGAUUUUUUAAUUCAAAUUAUUUCCCUUCGACAACAAUUGCUUGGCUUUGACUAAGCUUUGAUUAAUCUUCUUUCGGCGUUGACUAGGCUUUGCUGAAGAUAAUAUUUUUUACUCUUUGAAAGGACAAAAGUCAAAUCUCAUUGACUGUAUUAAAUGGGCCUGUCGAAAUUACAGGCUAACACACCUUUUGUGCGUCCGAAUUUAACCAUACACCACAAGGAAAGACGUUCAAGAUUGCUCUGACGCGAUUCUUCAUUCGAUAAAGUCGAUUGAUGUCUCUUUCAUUUCUUCUAUUGAAGGACACACAAUCAUGGUCCUUAAUUGAGAUCAUCAACCUUGUGCAACUAAACCACAACCAUCUUUGUCAAUGAGUCUUUCUGUAAAAUUCUUUAAGCAUUCUCAAGCCUCGUUCGAACCUUCUAUCCUUAAUGACAAGUCAACGAACAUCGUCGAUCAAAUCCAUCAUCGAUGCGCGUAAGGAAAACAUCACAAAAAUUUAUGUCUCUAUUACAUUUAGAAUUUUUUUUUGAUAGGCAAAAUAGAGAGGUUAGGCAUUAGGGAGAAGCUGAAACAUCCCAACUAGGUUGGCACGCAACAACACCUCCCAUCCUUUGUCGCCUCCCUAAUACGUAAUAAUAUUAUUAAAGAAAGGAAAAAUCUGUACAAAAGAGGGGGGACUAGGCCAAUACCCUCAAAAAAGGAAACGGAAAACAAAGCAGAAAAAAAAAAAGACUAGAAAUGGCUAAGAGAAUCUAAAAUUAGGAAGCCCAUUUCUGUCUCUAGUAAAAUCAUCUGACAAUGAAGCUGGCAUGGUUCAGAACCAAGUAGUAUCAGGCAUGUCAUGCCCCAAUGUAGCCAAAGCGUCUACACAACAGUUGCCUCCCAUAUAAAUAUGAGAACAUAUAAUCUUCAUUUAGAUGAUGGAAGAGGACCCUGAGAACGGGUUUGAUAACCAACCUUAUUCUUAUUCAAUUUUUUCUUCUGUGACUUAGAAAUCACUUGGGAAAAAGGUACAUCAGUCUCAGCCGCUCUAUUCAACCAAUCUUGCAUAAAAUUCAUUUCCUUCCGUAAUGUGGGAUCUAUAGUUGCACCAGGGGUUGCUGCUAUAGAACUAACAUCUAAAGGUUGGACGGGCGUUAAAAUUGGCUCAUGAUAAAUAGUUUCAGUGCGAACUAUAUCAUCUGUAACAUUAAAAAGCUGCAUACUGUAAGAAUUAGCAUUAGUGGGGAUUACCGUGUCUACCUCGGAAGGAGUUGUGGUGCCUGCAAUCUGGUCCGAAUUUUCAUCCACUAAGAUAUUCAUAUUUGUGCCAAUGUCAUGUUGUGGAGUGGUGUUUUCUUCAACAUGAAUCUGGUGUUGCGGCUCUGCAAUAUCUUUCUCAAGAAUAUUGUUGAUGCAAAUGUCAUGACUCGAGCCCGCCAAGGUGACCGUAAUAUCUUGCAGAAUGGUAAUAUCCGUAUCUGCCUGUUGCACUGUCUGAACUUGAGGAUCUAUUAGUUUAGGAGCUAGGACUGUGGCAGGAGCUGGGACUGCCUCCUUUUGUGGACUUGUGAACGCCAUAGAAGAUCCUAUGCCUAAAGGAUUAUCAGCGAUUGGAAUCCAUUGUUGCUUCUUGGUCGGAGCCGGCUUCUUACCCUGAGCCACCAUUUCUUUAUGCGCAUUACUUUCCUGGCGGGGAUAAAGCCAUCGACACACGGAAACAUCAUGACCAAUGUUUUGGCAGUGUGUACAAAAAUCCGGGAGCCACUCGUAUACGACCUCAAUAUUAAAUGCGUAUCCUUCCCUCUCAACAGUGAUUUUUCAUGAAAUAAUUUCCGUGAAAAAUCCAUAUCCACUAAAAUGCGAGCAUAGUGUCCAAAAAUGCGUUUGGUGGUCGCAUUAUCAAUAAGCAGUGGUGUGCCCACGGCACUAGCAAUUUCCCUGAGAGUCCUGUCCAUCCAAUACUCCUGUGGGAGUUCCAUCAAUCGAAUCCACACCUGGGUUUGUGUAUUACGUUGUUUAUGCAUGUUGAAAUCCUUGGUCCAUUCAAACAAUCGUAAAACCCCUGGCUUAAGGUUCACCGUUCCCAACGCCCAUACUAUGCGCAUGUCAUGUGCUGAUGCAAAAGUGAAUUCAUAAUACCCCCUUCCAAGUGGCCUCAUUCUCCACUCGGCUUGAAUUUUCCAUUGGUGUUGGAGCUUCAAUUGAAUGUCCCUGGUAGUGUAGGGUUUGUCGCCCUUAUUCAAGACCAACCUGCCCCUAAGGUUUCGCUUGCAGACUCCCAAACCUUUCUCGUACAUAUCUUGAGUAAUUUUGAUGCUAACAUAAUCCCCUCGAAUCAAUGGUUGCGGUAGGUUUUCAUUAGAGGAGACCGUUGAUGAUGCCGUUAGUGCCUGAACAAACGAAAUUUUGCUUGUUGUUUUCUGUGGAGGAGGCACCUUUGCAGCAGAUGCUAAAGGAGGAGCAACCGGAGCGGCCAGCUCGGCCUGCCAAUCAAACGGCAUGGCCACAACUGAAGAUGGAAACCGCAACCCCUAGUUACUGUAAUUACCAAAAUCACGUAAUAUUGUGCUUUCUCCCACCAAAACAAUUUAAAGAGGUGCAACACACGGACUUCCCAGGAGGUCACCCAUCCUAGUACUACUCUCGCCCAAGCACGCUUAACUGCGGAGUUCUGAUGGGAUCCGGUGCAUUAGUGCUGGUAUGAUCGCACCUUAUUAUAUUUAGAAUAAAUUUAAUAUAAAAGAUCUAAAUCAUAAAUAAAAUAGUUUACAUACGGUUUUAUAUUAGAAAGAAAAAAAUCAUAACAAAAAUUUGUAUCCCCUUUAUAUAUUGUAUAAAUGGAUGAAUUGAUUGAUUUUGUGAUAAAAAUGAAAAUACUCUUAAAAAAGGAAUAAAGUUUGUCAAAUGUUUUAAAAUAUUAUAAAUAACAUAAUGUGUUAAGCAACACCCCAUUAGAAGAAAAAAUAAAGUAAAAUGUCAUAUGUAUUUAGUUCAAAUUUCGAUUAUAAUACAUUUUACUUUUUUUUUAUUUCUUAAAUCCUAAUUUCCAUAUAUAUAUCAUUCUAGACUGGAUAAUUGUAAUUAAUAACUUUAAAAUUAAUAUUUUUUUUAUCUUAUAUUAUAUCAAACAUUGACGAUAUAACAUGAAAAUCGAAUAUUGAGUAAAAAAUUAAACCAAAUAAAAUAAGAACAUUAGAAUGAAUAUAUGAAAUUAAACAACAAAAAUACAUAUGCAAGAUUAGACUGGACACGAUCAACAACAAAAUUUGAUUAUGCUUUGCAGCUUUUUCUUAUGAAAGUAAAACAAACACAUAAUCUUAAGACGCACAUGAAAUACUCAUAUUAAAAGCUAAAUCCAAAAUACAAUUAAAUUUAAAUCCUUUUUUAAACACUUUAGAGGUUUAACUUUAGGUUCAACUCCAUUGGAUCGUUGGCAUCUGAAACUGUUGUUGGAGAAGACUCGAGUGGUGCAAGUGACAAAAUUGUUGAUGUUUGCCCAGAUGUUGAUGUUGUAUGUGCUUGUGGUCUUAGUGGUAUGUGUCUUGCUCCAUUAUUUUCUUCAUAAAUUGUGAUGGAUCCGAUAGGUAAAUUCAGGGACGAUAGCAAGUCCAGAGUCUCACGAAAUUUAACCUCAAUAGGCGGUGAUGGCGCAGGAGGUGGGACUAAACCCAUCAUCAUCUCGUGAAAAUGGUGUGGUGGGGGAACUAACUCCAUCAUCAUCCCCCCAACAUUUGGUGAAAAGGGAAAUUCAUACGUUAGUUGAAUCAGCUCGAUCAGCUUCUCUCUUAUUGAUUCCAUCUGUAAGCUAUGAUUCAAUGCCAAACAAUGGUGAUAGUGAAUAUCUUCCUUAGAGUUGAAUUGAUUAUAACAAUAGGGGCAUAUGAAAGUUCCAAUACCACCAUUGUUUGCCAUUUUGUAAACGGGUGUGUAAGAUGAAAAAAUAUCUAAUCUUAAUAGAUUGAUAUCUUUCAGAUAAACACAAAAGGAGAGAAUAUAUGAAGAAAAUUGCUAGCUAAAAUGUUAUAUUUAUAGUGUAGUUCCAAGUUCAAGAUGGGAUGGAUCUCAAAUUAUCUUUAUUUAAUUAUGAAUUUACGAGGAAACUUCUUUCUUUGUAAUAUUAGGAAAUAAGUGGAGGUAUAUCCACAUGAUUUGAAUUCUUUUAAAUAAAAUACUUUUUCCUGUCUAUAUACAUUGAACUCUUUUGAAAAGUAUUUUUAUUUUUUAUAAGAUCGUUUUUAAAUUACAAGAUACAUUAUCUAUCUUUUCGCAAAAAUACCCCUAUUAAAAAUCGAGAAUUCAAACACUAAUCUCAUAAUAAAUGAAAGAUAAUUUUCGAAAGUGAAUGUAUAUUAUUCAAAAAUUUAACAUAGAACUAUUUUUGUUUAUUUCUCUGCAAUGACCAAUGUAAAUAAAUUUGUAAUGUUCUUUAAAAGAUAUAGAUGUAAAUACUUUGUAAGUGCUCUUUGAACCUUAAAAUGAUCCUUGUAUUGGACAUGGGCACCAUUCCCUCUUCCUAAAUUUACAUACAUAAAAAAAUGUCUUACAGUGAGAGAACAACGUAGUAUAUUUUAUGGACUGAAAACAAUAUCAACUCUUUUUGAUAUCCCCUUUCAUACUUCCUAAAAAUAAAAUAAGUAUUUAAAUAAUCAAAUAUGUAAAGGUGGUUCGACAAAUCAUAUUACAUACAUUUUGUAAGACUCUUUUCUCUAGAUGAUGGUACUUCGAGUGCUAGAAUUCUAUAAGAGAUUUGCAACCAAUUUUUUAUAUGAAAAACUAUUAUUUAUACAUAGUGAAAAUAACUGCAAAAAGUUAACUGCCACGCACUGCACUUCUUCUAACGAAAACUGCAUGUCCCCCACGUCUUCAAUAAGAAAACUGAUGAUUUUUUAAUUCAAAUUAUUUCCCUUCGACAACAACUGCUUGGCUUUGACUAAGCUUUGACUAAUCUUCUUUCGGCGUUGACUAGGCUUUGCUGAAGAUAAUAAUUUUUACUCUUUGAAAGGACAAAAGUCAAAUCUCAUUGACUGUAUUAAAUGGGCCUGUCGAAAUUACAGGCUAACACACCUUUUGUGCGUCCGAAUUUAACCAUACACCACAAGGAAAGACGAUCAAGAUUGCUCUGACGCGAUUCUUCAUUCGAUAAAGUCGAUUGAUGUCUCUUUCAUUUCUUCUAUUGAAGGACACACAAUCAUGGUCCUUAAUUGAGAUCAUCAACCUUGUGCAACUAAACCACAACCAUCUUUGUCAAUGAGUCUUUCUGGUAAAAUUCUUUAAGCAUUCUCAAGCCUCGUUCGAACCUUCUAUCCUUAAUGACAAGUCAAUGAACAUUGUCGAUCAAAUCCAUCAUCGAUGCGCGAAAGAAAAACAUCACAAAAAUUUAUGUCUCUAUUAUAUUUAGAAUAAAUUUAAUAUAAAAGAUCUAAAUCAUAAAUAAAAUAGUUUACAUACGGUUUUAUAUUUGAAAGAAAAAAAUCAUAACAAAAAUUUGUAUCCCCUUUGUAUAUUGUAUAAAUGGAUGAAUUGAUUGAUUUUGUGAUAAAAAUGAAAAUACUCUUAAAAAAGGAAUAAAGUUUGUCAAAUGUUUUAAAAUAUUAUAAAUAACAGAAUGUGUUAAGCAACACCCCAUUAGAAGAAAAAAUAAAGUAAAAUGUCAUAUGUAUUUAGUUCAAAUUUCAUAUAUAAUACAUUUUACUUUUUUUUUAUUUCUUAAAUCCUAAUUUCCAUAUAUAUAUCAUUCUAGACUGGAUAAUUGUAAUUAAUAACUUUAAAAUUAAUAUUUUUUUUUAUCUUAUAUUAUAUCAAACAUUGACGAUAUAACAUCAAAAUCGAAUAUUGAGUAAAAAAUUAAACCAAAUAAAAUAAGAACAUUAGAAUGAAUAUAUGAAAUUAAACAACAAAAAUACAUAUGGAAGAUCAGACUGGACACGAUCAACAACAAAAUUUGAUUAUGCUUUGCAGCUUUUUCUUAUGAAAGUAAAACAAACACAUAAUCUUAAGACGCACAUGAAAUACUCAUAUUAAAAGGUAAAUCCAAAAUACAAUUAAAUUUAAAUCCUUUUUUAAACACUUUAGAGGUUUAACUUUAGGUUCAACUUCAUUGGAUCGUUGGCAUCUGAAACUGUUGUUGCAGAAGACUCGAGUGGUGCAAGUGACAAAGUUGUUGAUGUUUGCCCAGAUGUUGAUGUUGUAUGUGCUUGUGGUCUUAGUGGUAUGUGUCUUGCUCCAUUAUUUUCUUCAUAAAUUGUGAUGGAUCCGAUAGGUAAAUUCAGGGACGAUAGCAAGUCCAGAGUCUCACGAAAUUUAACCUCAAUAGGCGGUGAUGGCGCUGGAGGUGGGACUAAACCCAUCAUCAUCUCGUGAAAAUUGUGUGGUGGGGGAACUAACUCCAUCAUCAUCCCCCCAACAUUUGGUGAAAAGGGAAAUUCAUACGUUAGUUGAAUCAGCUCGAUCAGCUUCUCUCUUAUUGAUUCCAUCUGUAAGCUAUGAUUCAAUGCCAAACAAUGGUGAUAGUGAAUAUCUUCCUUAGAGUUGAAUUGAUUAUAACAAUAGGGGCAUAUGAAAGUUCCAAUACCACCAUUGUUUGCCAUUUUGUAAACGGGUGUGUAAGAUGAAAAAAUAUCUAAUCUUAAUAGAUUGAUAUCUUUCAGAUAAACACAAAAGGAGAGAAUAUAUGAAGAAAAUUGCUAGCUAAAAUGUUAUAUUUAUAGUGUAGUUCCAAGUUCAAGAUGGGAUGGAUCUCAAAUUAUCUUUAUUUAAUUAUGAAUUUACGAGGAAACUUCUUUCUUUGUAAUAUUAGGAAAUAAGUGGAGGUAUAUCCACAUGAUUUGAAUUCUUUUAAAUAAAAUACUUUUUCCUGUCUAUAUACAUUGAACUCUUUUGAAAAGUAUUUUUAUUUUUUAUAAGAUCGUUUUUAAAUUACAAGAUACAUUAUCUAUCUUUUCGCAAAAAUACCCCUAUUAAAAAUCGAGAAUUCAAACACUAAUCUCAUAAUAAAUGAAAGAUAAUUUUCGAAAGUGAAUGUAUAUUAUUCAAAAAUUUAACAUAGAACUAUUUUUGUUUAUUUCUCUGCAAUGACCAAUGUAAAUAAAUUUGUAAUGUUCUUUAAAAGAUAUAGAUGUAAAUACUUUGUAAGUGCUCUUUGAACCUUAAAAUGAUCCUUGUAUUGGACAUGGGCACCAUUCCCUCUUCCUAAAUUUACAUACAUAAAAAAAUGUCUUAUAGUGAGAGAACAACGUAGUAUAUUUUAUGGACUGAAAACAAUAUCAACUCUUUUUGAUAUCCCCUUUCAUACUUCCUAAAAAUAAAAUUAGUAUUUAAAUAAUCAAAUAUGUAAAGGUGGUUCGACAAAUCAUAUUACAUACAUUUUGUAUGACUCUUUUCUCUAGAUGAUGGUACUUCGAGUGCUAGAAUUCUAUAAGAGAUUUGCAACCAAUUUUUUAUAUGAAAAACUAUUAUUUAUACAUAGUGAAAAUAACUGCAAAAAGCUAACUGCCACGAACUGCACUUCUUCUAACGAAAACUGCAUGUCCCCCACGUCUUCAAUAAGAAAACUGAUGAUUUUUUAAUUCAAAUUAUUUCCCUUCGACAACAACUGCUUG